rnacentral:rRNA from 1 species
GACGAACCGAGCGAACGUUGUUCGGAAUCACUGGGCUUAAAGGGCGCGUAGGCGGGCUGUCAAGUCUGGGGUGAAAUCCCGCGGCUCAACCGCGGAACUGCCUCAGAUACUGACGGUCUCGAGGGAGGUAGGGGCGAGCGGAACUGAUGGUGGAGCGGUGAAAUGCGUUGAUAUCAUCAGGAACUCCGGUGGCGAAGGCGGCUCGCUGGACCUCUUCUGACGCUGAGGCGCGAAAGCUAGGGGAGCAAACGGG